AUUGAACGCUGGCGGCAUGCUUUACACAUGCAAGUCGAACGGUAACAGGUUAAGCUGACGAGUGGCGAACGGGUGAGUAAUGCAUCGGAACGUGCCCGGUCGUGGGGGAUAACGCAGCGAAAGCUGCGCUAAUACCGCAAACGAUCUGAGGAUGAAAGCGGGGGACCGUAAGGCCUCGCGCGAUCGGAGCGGCCGAUGUCAGAUUAGGUAGUUGGUUGGGUAAAGGCUCACCAAGCCAACGAUCUGUAGCUGGUCUGAGAGGACGACCAGCCACACUGGGACUGAGACGCGGCCCAGACUCCUACUGGAGGCAGCAGUGGGGAAUUUUGGACAAUGGGCGAAAGCCUGAUCCAGCAAUGCCGCGUGCAAGAAGAAGGCCUUCGGGUUGUAAACUGCUUUUGUACGGAGCGAAAAGGUCUCCUCUAAUACAGGGGGCUCAUGACGGUACCGUAAGAAUAAGCACCGGCUAACUACGUGCCAGCCGCCGCCGUAA
rnacentral:rRNA from 1 species